rnacentral:rRNA from 1 species
CAGUAGCCGCGGUAAUACGUAGGGUGCGAGCGUUAAUCGGAAUUACUGGGCGUAAAGCGUGCGCAGGCGGUUAUAUAAGACAGAUGUGAAAUCCCCGGGCUCAACCUGGGACCUGCAUUUGUGACUGUAUAGCUAGAGUACGGUAGAGGGGGAUGGAAUUCCGCGUGUAGCAGUGAAAUGCGUAGAUGUGCGGAGGAACACUGAUGGCGAAGGCAAUCCCCUGGACCUGUACUGACGCCCAUGCACGAAAGCGUGGGGAGCAAACAGGAUUAGAUACCCGGGUAGUCCCUGUCUCUUAUAC